rnacentral:rRNA from 1 species
CCUACGGGUGGCUGCAGUCGAGAAUCUUUCACAAUGGGGGAAACCCUGAUGCUGCGACGCCGCGUGGGGGAAUGAAGGUCUUCGUAUGUUAAACCCCUUUCAUGUGGAAGCAAAUUAAAGAGAUAGUACCACAAGAGGAAGAGACGGCUAACUCGGUACCAGCAGCCGCGGUAAUACAGAGGUCUCAAGCGUUGUUCGGAAUUACUGGGCGUAAAGCGUGCGUAGGCUGUUUCGUAAGUCGUGUGUGAAAGGCGCGGGCUCAACCCGCGGACGGCAUAUGAUACUGCGAGACUAGAGUGAUGGAGGGGGAAGCGGAAUUCCCGGUGUAGCAGUGAAAUGCGUAGAUAUCGAGAGGAACACUCGUGGCGAAGGCGGGUUCCUGGACAUUAACUGACGCUGAGGCACGAAGGCGAGGGGAGCGAAAGGGAUUAGAUACCCGAGUAGUC